rnacentral:misc_RNA from 1 species
AAGUCGUAACAAGGUUUCCGUAGGUGAACCUGCGGAAGGAUCAUUCAAAAUAAAAGUGAAAUACUUAUAUGGCACUUUUAAAACAAUCCAUAUUCACCUUGUGUGCAAUGUUUUAUUGGGAUAGAUAGAGAGUUUACUUUCUUCCUUUCCCUUUUUAACUUAAUUACUCUAAUUAUUUACAAGAAAUAUCGUCUGAAACAUUAUUAUUAUUGAAUAAACUUGAUUCAAAAAUAUAACUUUCAACAACGGAUCUCUUGGCUCUC